rnacentral:rRNA from 1 species
UACGGGGGGGGCAAGCGUUGUUCGGAUUUACUGGGCGUAAAGGGCGCGUAGGCGGCCACUGCAAGUCGGUUGUGAAAUCUCCGGGCUUAACCCGGAAAGGUCAAUCGAUACUGCAGGGCUAGAGUGCGGAAGGGGCAACUGGAAUUCUCGGUGUAGCGGUGAAAUGCGUAGAUAUCGAGAGGAACACCUGCGGCGAAGGCGGGUUGCUGGGCCGACACUGACGCUGACAGCGCGAAAGCUAGGGGGAGCGAACAGG